CCGCACAAGCGGUGGAGCAUGUGGUUAAUUCGAUGCAACGCGAAGAACCUUACCUGGGCUUGACAUCCCUGGAAUCCCCUGGAACAGGGAGUGCCUUCGGGAGCCAGGAGACAGGUGCUGCAUGGCUGUCGUCAGCUCGUGUCGUGAGAUGUUGGGUUAAGUCCCGCAACGAGCGCAACCCUUGUCUUUAAUUGCCAUCAUUCAGUUGGGCACUUUAAAGAGACUGCCGGUGUUAAACCGGAGGAAGGUGGGGAUGACGUCAAGUCCUCAUGGCCUUUAUGCCCAGGGCUACACACGUGCUACAAUGGCCGGUACAGACGGAGGCGAAGCCGCGAGGCGGAGCAAAUCCGAAAAAGCCGGUCUCAGUUCGGAUUGCAGGCUGCAAUUCGCCUGCAUGAAGUCGGAAUCGCUAGUAAUCGCAGGUCAGCAUACUGCGGUGAAUACGUUCCCGGGCCUU
rnacentral:rRNA from 1 species